CGUUUGCAACUGUCUCGAAGUCUCUAGUCGGUGUAGCUGACCCAUGCCACCGUUUACACACAGAAAGGAGCUAUGAAUCUGUGAGCAAACAUUGCACUCUUCUGUCUUCCCCCCCCCCCGGUAUAAUCCCUGUCAGGAUUUCAUGGAGACCAUGGCAAAAGAUGGUGCAGCACAAGAGGCAACUGUGACUCCAAACAAGGAUGUAAGUGAACAUAACCCUAAAGGGUACACAGUUAUCUAUGUUUCAGGUGGUCCAGGUAGCGGAAAGAGUACGCAAUGCGCCAAAAUUGCUCCAUACUUUGGGUUUUGUCAUCUGAGUGUUGGUGAUCUUCUUGAAGCAGAAGUUGAGACUGGAUCUGAAUACGGUAAAAUGAUUGAGGACUGUAAGAAAGAAGGAAGGCUUGUUCCUUCCGAUCUGGUUGUCAAGCUUCUGCAACAGGCAAUGCAGAGGAGCCAAAACAAGAAAUUUGUCAUCGAUGGCUUCCCACGGAAUGAAGAAAAUCGUGCUGCCGCUGAAAGCAUUAUGAAAAUUGAGCCAUAUUUUGUAUUGUUUCUUGACUGCUCAGAAGAGGAGAUGAAAAGACGUCUUUUAAAUAGAAACCAGGGAAGAGUUGAUGAUAAUAUUAACACAAUACAGAACAGAAGCGUCUUAAAGUCUACUUUGAAUGCACUCUUCCUGUAAUCAAUUAUUACAGCGCCAAGGGCAAGGUUCGAAAGAUUGAUGCUGAAAGGUCUCCUGAAGAGGUAUUUGAGGCAAUCAAGGACAUAUUCUUUGAGUUGAAAGAGAAGCAUGGGGAGACCGCCGGACGCCUGUAGUUUAUCAGGAUAAUAUUGUAUUAGUUUGAAGUUUCCCUGAGAUAAUAUGUCAAG